AUUGAACGCUGGCGGCAGGCCUAACACAUGCAAGUCGAGCGGAUGAAGGGAGCUUGCUCCUGGAUUCAGCGGCGGACGGGCGAGUAAUGCCUAGGAAUCUGCCUGGUAGUGGGGGAUAACGUCCGGAAACGGGCGCUAAUACCGCAUACGUCCUGAGGGAGAAAGUGGGGGAUCUUCGGACCUCACGCUAUCAGAUGAGCCUAGGUCGGAUUAGCUAGUUGGUGGGGUAAAGGCCUACCAAGGCGACGAUCCGUAACUGGUCUGAGAGGAUGAUCAGUCACACUGGAACUGAGACACGGUCCAGACUCCUACGGGAGGCAGCAGUGGGGAAUAUUGGACAAUGGGCGAAAGCCUGAUCCAGCCAUGCCGCGUGUGUGAAGAAGGUCUUCGGAUUGUAAAGCACUUUAAGUUGGGAGGAAGGGCAGUAAGUUAAUACCUUGCUGUUUUGACGUUACCAACAGAAUAAGCACCGGCUAACUUCGU
rnacentral:rRNA from 1 species